rnacentral:rRNA from 1 species
UCUCAAGCAAACAAAAGGGCAUCUGGUGGAUGCCUUGGCACCGAGAGGCGAUGAAGGACGUAGCACCCUGCGANUAAGCUCUGGGGAGGGGGAGCACCCGUUAAUCCAGAGAUCUCCGAAUGGGGCAACCCACCGCGUAAGCGGUAUCGACGGCAACNGUCGAGGCAAACCCGGCGAAUUGAAACAUNCUCAGNUAGCCGGAGGAAAGGACAUCAAUCGAGACUCCGCAAGUAGUGGCGAGCGAACGCGGAUCAGGCCAGUGGCUGCAGCGUCAAGACCGGAACCGUCUGGAAAGGCGGGCUAGAGCGGGUGACAGCCCCGUACGGGUANNAGUGACGUUGUAGUCCUUGAGUAAGGCGGGACUCGAGAAAUCCUGUCUGAACAUGGGGGANCCACCCUCCAAGCCUAAGUACUCCUCGGUGACCGAUAGCGCACUAGUACCGUGAGGGAAAGGUGAAAAGCACCCCGACGAGGGGAGUGAAACAGANCCUGAAACCGGAUGCCUACAAGCAGUGGGAGCGGGCUUUGGCNNCCGUGACCGCGUACCUUUUGUAUAAUGGGUCAGCGAGUUGAUCGUGCGAGCAAGCUUAAGCCGAUAGGUGAAGGCGCAGCGAAAGCGAGUCUGAACAGGGCGUUCAGUUCGUAGGAUCAGACCCGAAGCCGAGUGAUCUAGCCAUGGGCAGGCUGAAGGUGGGGUAACACCCACUGGAGGGCCGAACUCACGUCUGUUGAAAAAGACGGGGAUGACCUGUGGUUAGGGGUGAAAGGCCAAUCAAACUCGGCGAUAGCUGGUUCUCCGCGAAAGCUAUUGAGGUAGCGCGUCGCGUAUUACCGCCGGGGGUAGAGCACUGGAUGGGCUAAGGGGCCCCACAGGCUUACUAAACCCAACCAAACUCCGAAUACCGGCGAGUAGAGCGCGGCAGACAGACAGUGGGUGCUAAGGUCCAUUGUCGAGAGGGAAACAGCCCAGACCGCCAGCUAAGGUCCCCAAGUCGUGGCUAAGUGGGAAAGGAUGUGGGAAGGCCAAGACAACCAGGAGGUUGGCUUAGAAGCAGCCAUCCUUUAAAGAAAGCGUAAUAGCUCACUGGUCUAGAUAAGCCGUCCUGCGCCGAAAAUGUAACGGGGCUCAAGCCACGCACCGAAGCUGCGGAUUCGAAUGUUAGAAGACAGGGAUCAGGGAUUGGUCCGGACGUAUCACCAUGACAGUCAGGCGUUUUGAAGAUCGGGAGAUCUUUCAGCGCGUCGAUUGGCUGUCUCUGGCGGUGCCCCGGGCGAGUCUGAUCUUGCCGACGCUGCCCGCUGGCGUGCCUGGCGGGCUGGAGAGGAGCGGAUCGCCUGCAUGCCGCAAGGCCUGCGGAGAUCUGUCGUCUCGUCGUCAGCGGCUUUUGCUGCUGAUCCCUGAUCCCUGUCCUUCUGACAUUUGAGUGGUAGCGGAGCGUUCCGUAAGCCUGUGAAGGUGGCUCGCGAGAGCUGCUGGAGGUAUCGGAAGUGAGAAUGCUGACAUGAGUAGCGACAAAGCGGGUGAGAAACCCGCUCGCCGAAAGUCAAGGGUUCCUGCGCAAGGCUAAUCCGCGCAGGGUGAGCCGGCCCCUAAGGUGAGGGCGAAAGCCGUAGCCGAUGGGAAUGGGGUUAAUAUUCCCCAGCCUGCCGUGCGUGACGAAUGUGGACCGUUGUCCGGGCUUAUUGGAUUGUCCGGGCGGCCGAAGCGUUCCAGGAAACAGCGCCGGCAUCAAGACCGUACCCGAAACCGACACAGGUGGACAGGUAGAGUAUACCAAGGCGCUUGAGAGAAUGGUGUUGAAGGAACUCGGCAAAUUACCCGCGUAACUUCGGGAGAAGCGGGCCCCGUUUCUGGGCAACCAGGGGCGGGGGGCACAGACUAGGGGUGGCGACUGUUUACUAAAAACACAGGACUCUGCAAAGCCGCAAGGCGACGUAUAGGGUCUGACGCCUGCCCGGUGCCGGAAGGUUAAGAGGCGGGGUGCAAGCUCCAAAUUGAAGCCCCGGUAAACGGCGGCCGUAACUAUAACGGUCCUAAGGUAGCGAAAUUCCUUGUCGGGUAAGUUCCGACCUGCACGAAUGGCGUAACGACUUCCCCACUGUCUCCAACACCAACUCAGCGAAAUUGAAUUCUCCGUGAAGAUGCGGAGUACCCGCGGUUAGACGGAAAGACCCCGUGCACCUUUACUACAGCUUUGCAGUGGCACUAGGGAAUGGAUGUGUAGGAUAGGUGGGAGGCUAUGAGACGAUCCCGCUAGGGGUCGUGGAGCCAACCUUGAAAUACCACCCUUUUGUUCUCUGGUGUCUAACCGCGCCGUGUCANNAUCCACGGCCGGGACCCUGCAUGGCGGGUAGUUUGACUGGGGCGGUCGCCUCCCAAAGAGUAACGGAGGCGCGCGAUGGUGGGCUCAGGCUGGUCGGAAACCAGCUGUCGAGUGCAAUGGCAUAAGCCCGCCUGACUGCGAGACCGACAGGUCGAGCAGAGACGAAAGUCGGCCAUAGUGAUCCGGUGGUCCCGCGUGGAAGGGCCAUCGCUCAACGGAUAAAAGGUACGCCGGGGAUAACAGGCUGAUCUCCCCCAAGAGUCCACAUCGACGGGGAGGUUUGGCACCUCGAUGUCGGCUCAUCACAUCCUGGGGCUGGAGCAGGUCCCAAGGGUUCGGCUGUUCGCCGAUUAAAGUGGUACGUGAGCUGGGUUUAGAACGUCGUGAGACAGUUCGGUCCCUAUCUGCCGUGGGUGUUCGAGGCUUGCGAGGAGCCGUCCCUAGUACGAGAGGACCGGGACGGACGAACCUCUGGUGUACCUGUUGUCGCGCCAGCGGCACCGCAGGGUAGCUAUGUUCGGACGAGAUAACCGCUGAAAGCAUCUAAGCGGGAAACUUCCCUCAAAACCAGGCCUCGCCUAAGAGCCGUGCUAGACCAGCACGUUGAUAGGCCGGAUGUGGACGCGCAGCAAUGUGUGCAGCUAACCGGUCCUAAUCGCUCGAUAGAGCUCG